rnacentral:rRNA from 1 species
UACAGAGGGGGCAAGCGUUAUUCGGAAUUAUUGGGCGUAAAGAGCUUGUAGGCGGUUUGUCGCGUCUGCUGUGAAAAUCCGGGGCUCAACCCCGGACUUGCAGUGGGUACGGGCAGGCUAGAGUGUGGUAGGGGAGACUGGAAUUCCUGGUGUAGCGGUGAAAUGCGCAGAUAUCAGGAGGAACACCGAUGGCGAAGGCAGGUCUCUGGGCCGCGACUGACGCUGAGAAGCGAAAGCAUGGGGAGCGAAAAGG